rfam:Anaerolineaceae bacterium oral taxon 439 strain W11661, complete genome.
GCCCUCGUAGCUCAAUGGAUAGAGUCGUUGACUUCGAAUCAAAAGGUUGGGGGUUCGAGUCCCUCCGGGGGCG